rnacentral:lncRNA from 1 species
CAGCGGGGAGUGCGCCGCGGCGUGGGACGAGGUGGAGGAGCUCAGCGCCGCGGCCAGCCACGCCCGGGACAAGCUCAAGGACUCGGACCCGCUCGAGAACUACUGCAAGGAGAACCCCGAGACCGACGAGUGCCGCACCUACGACAGCUGAGCGUACGUGCUAAUUUGUUCUGGACGGCGGAUAGUGAAGCUGGACGUGGUGUUCUUGGCUCAUGGGAGCCCGAGAAACCUGCUAUGUCUCAACCUACCGUUACUUACACGAUCGGGAUGUAUGUAGUAAAAACGCGCCAAAUAUUUUCCCAGGGACAUACGUGGUUGAUAUACAAUUGAUAUUACAGACGUUUAUUUAAAGUUGUAUUAUGGAUGUGU